AGAGUUUGAUCAUGGCUCAGAGCGAACGCUGGCGGCAGGCUUAACACAUGCAAGUCGAGCGGGCGUAGCAAUACGUCAGCGGCAGACGGGUGAGUAACGCGUGGGAACAUACCUUUUGGUUCGGAACAACACAGGGAAACUUGUGCUAAUACCGGAUAAGCCCUUACGGGGAAAGAUUUAUCGCCGAAAGAUUGGCCCGCGUCUGAUUAGCUAGUUGGUGAGGUAACGGCUCACCAAGGCGACGAUCAGUAGCUGGUCUGAGAGGAUGAUCAGCCACAUUGGGACUGAGACACGGCCCAAACUCCUACGGGAGGCAGCAGUGGGGAAUAUUGGACAAUGGGCGCAAGCCUGAUCCAGCCAUGCCGCGUGAGUGAUGAAGGCCCUAGGGUUGUAAAGCUCUUUUGUGCGGGAAGAUAAUGACGGUACCGCAAGAAUAAGCCCCGGCUAACUUCGUGCCAGCAGCCGCGGUAAUACGAAGGGGGCUAGCGUUGCUCGGAAUCACUGGGCGUAAAGGGUGCGUAGGCGGGUCUUUAAGUCAGGGGUGAAAUCCUGGAGCUCAACUCCAGAACUGCCUUUGAUACUGAGGAUCUUGAGUUCGGGAGAGGUGAGUGGAACUGCGAGUGUAGAGGUGAAAUUCGUAGAUAUUCGCAAGAACACCAGUGGCGAAGGCGGCUCACUGGCCCGAUACUGACGCUGAGGCACGAAAGCGUGGGGAGCAAACAGCAUUAGAUACCCUGGUAGUCCACGCCGUAAACGAUGAAUGCCAGCCGUUAGUGGGUUUACUCACUAGUGGCGCAGCUAACGCUUCAAGCAUUCCGCCUGGGGGAGUACGGUCGCAAGAAUAAACUUCAAGGAAUUGACGG
rnacentral:rRNA from 1 species